UUCCACAUUUAAAGUCGAGAGUGGACAUGCAGUGGUGUACUCUGAGAAACAUUUAAUCGGUGCUCUGUCCUCAGAGUACAUGAGACAGUCAGUGCUAGCCAGCUGGCCUCCUGACACUCUAUGACACAGAGAGAACCCCAUCCAAGUUUACUUUCCAUCCAUCUAUUUUUGAAUCCUUUUAACACUUUAGAGAGAGAGAAAGAGAGAACAGAACAGGCAGGCAGGCUGUGUUUAACCCCCAAACCACUUGCAGAGCCUGAAAGCCUGGGAGUAAAUACAAUUCCUCUGGCACCUUGUUAUAAGACAGACAUAACACAGAACAUCUCACCGUACUAUUAGUCUACGGAUUCCGCGCUCCAGCGUACUUACGUAUUUACAGAAAAGAGAGGGGGCAGACGGAGAGGACUGUGCUGAGAUGUUUAGAGAGAAUUCAGGACCCAAGCUGCAGCAGUAUUAACGAGGAAGGGAGGGUGGGGCGGCCCAGAAAACAAACGAGCUGCUCGCAUGAGUUUCGAAAGAGACGGUGUAGAAGACACACAAACAUUCCUAGUUCCUUGCCUUGGCUGGACACCACGGCUGCAAAAGGAAACGAGGAACUGGAAGGAUCAUCCUUAUUGCAUUCACAGGAAACAGAAGCCUCAACUGAAUCACUACGAGUCAGCAGUCAGUUCCACAAGCAUAACAAAUUAAAGCUCACCAAGAAGAGAACACUAAGAACUUAGAAGCCACAUGUGCUCUUUUCUUGAAGGAAACAAUUUCAUGGAACUCAUUAUUAGAAGGAAGACAAGCAUGAGAUUAAAAGCACGUAGUUUCCCAUUUUUGAUGCACCCAGAACACAGGGAGCAGGCAAUGAGGAAUUUGGCCGGCUGGAUUGUACUGUGCCUGGCUUACCAAAUUCCAGCCUGUUCCCCAUUCCCAGCCAGCCCACCAGGCACAGGCAAUCCUAGGAGAGGGUGGUCAGCCUCAGGCUCCCGGGUUAAGCCCAAAGCUCUAGUUCCAGGCUCAGAGCUACAAAACUGUAGUUCUCUUCUCAUUCCCUCUCCCUCAACACAGCCCCAAGCUUCUCCUUGGGUUUCAGUGGGGCAAAGGUCAGGAAAUGGGGGGACUCUACAGAUGAUCUCAUUUUAAGGACAGCCAUCUGUCACCUACGGCUCAACUGGGGAUGAGACCGUAAGGAAAGUUUAUUUUCCUGAUGUUAUGAACUGGAUGUGUAUCCCCCAAAAUUCAUAAGUGGAAUCCCUAAUCCCAAGUGAUGGCACCUGGAUGUGGGGCCUGUGGGUGGUGAUUAGAGUUAGACGAGGUUACGAGGGUGAGGCUCCAGGAGGGGAUUAGCAUCCUUGUAAAAGGAGGAAGAGAGACCAGAGUGCUCUCUUUCCACCAGGUGAGGACACAGUGAGAAGGUGGCUGUCUACACACCAGGAAGAGAGCCCUACCUAGGAACCCAACAGGCUGGCGCCUUGAUCUUGGACUUCGCAGCCUCCAGAACUGUGAGAAAUAAAUGUCUGUCAGUUAAGCCACCUGUCUUUGAUAUUUUGUUACAGCAGCCUAAGCCGAGAAGCCUAGAUUCUCCUCACUGCUGUAAAGAUAGCUCACUACAAGGAGGAAACCAGCAGCUUCCACUGAGUUGCACAGAAGGUAGGGCAGUGAACAAGUGGGGCUGCUUGAAGAAUCUGAUAUGUUCCUAGUGUGGGCAGUUUCAGAAAGUACCAGCUCCUGCCUCCCUGUGGGACCACCACGAGGAUGCUGUCAGAGAGGGAAGCCCUGGUCCCUGUCACUGGAGGUGAGAGAGAAGGGCAAUGGGAGAAUGGAUUCCCUGCUGGCCCGUGAGUCUCCUGGACUCCAACUCAGUCCUUGUGAGGAGAUGGUGGGCCCGCAGGGGUCUGCGAGCUGUCCUCAUCUGAAACCAAGCCAGAGCAGUCACCAGCCCAGCCCUCCGUGGCCUUGUCUGAGCCAGGGUAUACUUACAGCCCCGGCAAUGGCGACAAGGACAAGAAGUCACUUUUGCAUUCAGAAAACACAUCCCAGAGGUAAUGCGUAACUAAAGCUUCUCAACGGUUGGAUGGCCGGUUUUACACUGAAUAUUCAGAAUCAAAUCUCUACAUCAGCAAUUUACCAGGCGUCCUUUAAGACAUUCCAGUAAAAAGAAGAUUCUCCAAUAGUGACAGAGAAGAAAACACACCCACCAUCCGUAGGCGGUAUUACAAGAUGAUCAUUCUAAUUGGGAAGCUCACCCUUACAAACUCCUGGAGGGCACCACUUCACAUGGGGACCUGAACGCAACAAACACUCAGGAAAGUUACCAUAAGUAAAUGUAUUUAAAGGGGGUUUUUACUUACUUCAUAUGCUGUUAAAAUUCUCUAUUAGAGAAGCUACUUCAGAGGCCACAAGGAAUUAGUGGGUUACCCUUUGGGCCAGGUCCCUGACAGUGGAAAAGGAUGUCCUUCUGCAUCUGCCUUGAAUUAAUCAGCAUUAUUUCCUAACAAGGAUAGAGAGCCAAUUGGAUCCAUUAUUGAGAGCACUGAGGAGGACGUGUGUCUGCCAUUGGCAGAUGCUGGGAAAGGUCUUAUAAAU